UUAAAGUAUUCCGGCACCGUGCCGGAUCUCCGGCGUGCAGCCGUGAGGAAAUAAAAAAACAACUUGCAUGCAGUUUAAUAUUUUCGAGUGAAUUGCUUUCACAUACCAAUCAUAUGAGAGGAACGCAGCUCUAACUAACGCAGGGCUUAAAGUACUUUUCUGCCGUAGGACUAUUUUAGAAAAAUAAAUAAAUUAAAAAGUCCACAUGGGAUCUGUUUUUGAUGCGCUGGGUUCAACCAAUCAUCAAACUUCCACCUACCAAUGAAACGAGUUCUAGCCAAUCAGAUGCAAAGUAGGGCGGGUCUUUGCUGAAAAGCAAGAUUGCGGUGUGGUCUCCGUGGUAACCGAUCCAGCUUUAGUUGAGAAAGGAGUUAAAAACAAAUGGCGCUGGGCAUGAAUAGAGGACUAGAGGAGACGGGAAGCCGUUUAGCACUUGGUGCCUCAGUUUUGAGGGAGCCGGCUGCUUCUGCAGCUGUUGAAGGAAGAUACUGGACGGCAGCAGCGGUAAGAAAGGGCUGCUAGUCACUAGAUGCUGGUCACAAAGCUUCGGUCCGUGCACUCUGUCAUACGAGUACGUUACCGGCAACGACAGCUACCGCUGCGACUGCUCCUUCACUGACCGACCGUGUUUGUGAUACAACAAUACGUGUGCACGUUCAUAGCAGAACAUGAUUUGUCAUUAACGAUGGCCGCUGUGU